UACGUAGGUGGCAAGCGUUGUCCGGAAUUACUGGGUGUAAAGCGCGUGUAGGCGGGAGGCCAAGUCUGUGGUGAAAUCGCCUGGCUUAACUGGGAGGGGUCCAUGGAAACUGGUCACCUGGAGGUCGGUAGAGGCAAGUGGAAUUCCCGGUGUAGUGGUGAAAUGCGUAGAGAUCGGGAGGAACACCAGUGGCGAAGGCGGCUCACUGGUCCGGUACUGACGCUGAGGUGCGAAAGCGUGGGGAGCAAACAGG
rnacentral:rRNA from 1 species